rnacentral:rRNA from 1 species
UACAGAGGCCUCAAGCGUUAGGCGGAAUCACUGGGCUUAAAGCGCGUGUAGGCGGAUCGUUAAGUGUCUUGUGAAAUCCCACGGCUCAACCGUGGAACUGCUGGGCAUACUGGCGAUCUUGGGCCACUCAGGGGCAGCCGGAACAAGCGGUGGAGCGGUGAAAUGCGUAGAUAUCGGGAGGAACACCAGUGGCGAAAGCGGCCGGCUGGGCCUGUCCUGACGCUGAGACGCGAAAGCGUGGGGAGCGAACCGG